AGGCGAAAAGAACCCCGGGAGGGGAGUGAAAUAGAUCCUGAAACCGCAUACAUACAAACAGUAGGAGCCCGCAAGGGUGACUGCGUACCUUUUGCAUAAUGGGUCAGCGACUUACGUUCAAUGGCAAGCUUAACCGAGUAGGGGAGGCGCAGCGAAAGCGAGUCCGAACAGGGCGAUAUGAGUCGUUGGGCGUAGACCCGAAACCAGAUGAUCUAUCCAUGGCCAGGCUGAAGGUGUGGUAACACACACUGGAGGGCCGAACCGACUAGUGUUGCAAAAUUAGCGGAUGAGCUGUGGAUAGGGGUGAAAGGCUAAACAAAUCUGGAGAUAGCUGGUUCUCCCCGAAAACUAUUGAGGUAGUGCCUCGUGUAUGGCUCCAGGGGGUAGAGCACUGUUAUGGCUAGGGGGACAUGGCGUCUUACCAAACCAUGGCAAACUCCGAAUACUUGGAAGUCUGAGCACGGGAGACAGAGCACCGGGUGCUAACGUCCGGACUCAAAAGGGAAACAACCCAGACCGCCGGCUAAGGUCCCUAAUAUUGACUAAGUGGAAAACGAAGUGGGAAGGCUAAGACAGUCAGGAAGUUGGCUUAGAAGCAGCCAUCCUUCAAAGAAAGCGUAAUAGCUCACUGAUCGAGUCUUCCUGCGCGGAAGAUGUAACGGGGCUAAGUCAAUAACCGAAGCCGCGGAUUCGCAGCAAUGCGAGUGGUAGGGGAGCGUUCUGUAAGCCUGCGAAGGCGGAUCCGCGAGGACCGCUGGAGGUAUCAGAAGUGCGAAUGCUGACAUGAGUAACGUUAAAGCGGGUGAAAAGCCCGCUCGCCGCAAGCCCAAGGUUUCCUGCUCUACGUUCAUCGGAGCAGGGUGAGUCGGCCCCUAAGGUCAGGCUGAGAAGCGUAGCUGAUGGGAAGCUGGUUAAUAUUCCAGCACCGAUUUCAAGUGCGAAGGGGGGACGGAGUCCUGAAGGUCAUCCGGGUGUUGGAUAUCCCGGUUUACGAGCGUAGGAGGUUGACAGGCAAAUCCGUCAACGAAUCUCCAAGGCGAAGGAUCGAGGUUGAGAGAUCAACUGAAGUGACUGAAUGGGCUUCCAGGAAAAGCCUCUAAGCAUCAGCUUGGAAUUGACCGUACCGCAAACCGACACUGGUGGGCGAGCUGAAUAUGCUCAGGCGCUUGAGAGAACUCAGGAGAAGGAACUCGGCAAAUUGACACCGUAACUUCGGGAUAAGGUGUGCCUUUGUAGUGUGAAGAGAGAAACACUCCGAGCAUGAAGAGGCCUCAGAGAAUCGGUGGCUGCAACUGUUUACUAAAAACACAGCACUCUGCAAAGAUGAAAGUCGACGUAUAGGGUGUGAUGCCUGCCCGGUGCUGGAAGAUUAAUUGAUGGGGUGCAAGCUCCUGAUCGAAGUCCCAGUAAACGGCGGCCGUAACUAUAACGGUCCUAAGGUAGCGAAAUUCCUUGUCGGGCAAGUUCCGACCUGCACGAAUGGCAUAAUGAUGGCCACACUGUCUCCUCCUGAGACUCAGUGAAGUUGAAAUGUUUGUGAUGAUGCAAUCUCCCCGCGGCUAGACGGAAAGACCCCAUGAACCUUUACUGCAGCUUUGCAUUGGACUUUGAACCGAUCUGUGUAGGAUAGGUGGGAGGCAGUGAAGCUAGGACGCCAGUCUUAGCGGAGCCAACCUUGAAAUACCACCCUGAUUUGUUUGAGGUUCUAACCUAGGAGCGUAAUCCGCUUCGGGGACCGUGCAUGGUAGGCAGUUUGACUGGGGCGGUCUCCUCCUAAAGGGUAACGGAGGAGUGCGAAGGUACGCUAGGUACGGUCGGAAAUCGUGCUGAUAGUGCAAUGGCAAAAGCGUGCUUGACUGCGAGACCGACAAGUCGAGCAGAUACGAAAGUAGGUCAUAGUGAUCCGGUGGCUCUGCAUGGAAGGGCCAUCGCUCAACGGAUAAAAGGUACUCUGGGGAUAACAGGCUGAUACCGCCCAAGAGUUCAUAUCGACGGCGGUGUUUGGCACCUCGAUGUCGGCUCAUCUCAUCCUGGGGCUGUAGCCGGUCCCAAGGGUAUGGCUGUUCGCCAUUUAAAGAGGUACGUGAGCUGGGUUUAAAACGUCGUGAGACAGUUUUGUCCCUAUCUGCCGUGGGCGUUGGAAGAUUGACGGGGGCUGCUCCUAGUACGAGAGGACCGGAGUGGACUCACCUCUGGUGUACCGGUUGUCACGCCAGUGGCAUCGCCGGGGAGCUAUG
rnacentral:rRNA from 1 species